GGGCGCACAGGGGCGGCCGUGACCGGUGCAGCUCGGGUCGUCGCUCGGUCCGGCUAGGGCUGCCCAAGAAAGGAGGAUACCCACGCGGCUCCGCGCCCCUCCGCCUGGCCCGACCUCCGACGGAGGGCAGCAGGAGGCGGGGUUGCUACCCUGCUCCGGGGCGGUCCGCGCGGUUCCACGCGCAGCCCAGGGCGGCCUCGGGGCGGGGAAGGGCUGGGGCCGGGCGCCCUCUGGCCGGAGCGUGGGGCAGUGCAGAACCCGCUCCCCCGCCGCCACGUCAGGCCCCGCCACGUCAGGCCCCGCGGGCACGCCCCGGCUGCCCGAGGCCUUGCGGGGUCGGCGCCGAGGUCACUCCCGUGGGCUCUGGAAGCCCUUCUGAGCGGCGUGGCUCUGACCCACCACGUCCUCCGUGCUCUCCACGUCCCCGGGUACACGCGGUGUACUGUGAAAACCGGGAGCCCGGCGAAGGCCGCCGCCGAUGAUGCAGCGAUUAAAGAAAGCUAGGUGCGGAGCACCUGCUGCGGAAAAGGCGCCCGGACCGAGUCCUGAUCUACGCGACAGCGUGCCUCGAGUGGGAAGACUGCCCCAGGUUCAGGGCUCACGUACCGGAUCGCCAUUAGAAAGGGGAAGGGAAACGAAAGAGGGACUGCAUAAAUAAAUGACAGGUGUGCUAAGCUGGUUCAGGAAUUGAGAAUGCACUUGAAAACCACUGUCUUCAGAAGGCGCUGGGACACAGGAGUUCCUUCUGUCACUAAUUAACUGACUGACCUACAUUGUCGCGAAGUAUCCCAGGGCCUUGGUCUUCUCUUCUGUAUAACGAAGAGGCUGGACAGAUCUUCUAAAAGCGUUCCGGCUCUAAAAUUCCAUCAGCCUCUACUUUCAGACCCAGAAGUGACCUUAUAACCUAAUUAAUUUUUUAAAUCACUAUUCAGGUUCAAGAUAGACAAAAUGCUGAAGGUUUGAACUUCGGUAAACCUACCUCUCUAUGUUCGUUCAAAGCUGCUUAGUGUUUUCAAAUCCAGUGUGGGUGAGACUUACCAUGCAUCCUUUAGUGGACCAAAAUCUCCUGAAUUUGAGGUUCCAUAUAGGAACACUGUCAACCUGGUUUGUACAUAACCAGAAUCGGUUGCGGUAUACAUGAUGAACUGGUUAAUUUUUUAAUUAAAAUGUUAUAUACAUCUCUUUAUGGGAGAGGGGGUAUGUGAUGGUCAGAGAACAACUUGCAGAAUUCAGUUCUGUCUUUUCAACAUGUGGAUUCUGGUGGCCAAAGUAGGGCCUCAAGCACUCUUGCCAACUGAGUCAACACGGAAGCCAAUAUUUUAAAGGGUCUUCCCCAUGCUAACCAGGCACUACCGAGAGCUACAUCUUCUACCUAAGCAAUCUCAUUCUUUAAAUGAGAGAACUCAUGACCUCCAGAAUAGAUGGUUCUCCUAGCUGAGAUACUGAUGGAGCUGGGAGAAAAAGGUGCCAGAAAGGUUACAAUUACAGCUGUGCUUACUCUAAAGGAUACUUAGUAACGAGAACCUCACUGAAGGAGAAUUAAGAUGCGCAGUCACGCCCUUGGAACUCUCAACUCCCUACAUUGCUUAUUUGUAUUGUGUUCUAUUUUGCGAACUUAAUUUGAGUCAAAUUUAAGGCCAGUACCAUUUAUCUGGCAUUGCAAAAGUUACUCCAUAUAGAUGAAAAUUUUCAGCUACUUGAAAAGGAAAACUUUCCUUCCCAUGAUCUGAUGGAAAACUCAUGGUCUCUUGAACACAGCUUUCUGGUAAUUAUGUAUAGCUAGUAAUUAAGAAACAUCAAUAAUUAUCAACAUUACUGUGCUCACAAUCUGUGAGUGCCCUCAAAAAUGUGUAGAAUUUAUUCCCGUAAUAAAAGCCCCCACGAUCCCUA
rnacentral:lncRNA from 1 species